ensembl:lncRNA
GACAAACUGUUUUGCCGGUAGUCGUGGUAAUACUAUGAAAAUUUAGAUGCCAAUCACCAUAUAAGUUCAACGAUGAAAAAGCCUGGAAGGAGGAGAGAUGACUAGAAACGAUUCAGUUGGCCUUUUUAUUUGUGGAUUAAUUGGCGGAGUAGAGGAGCUUGUGCAUUUCAGAAUUGACAGAAGAACACAUGGUGGUGGCCUUGUGCUGACCGACCAGCAGGAGUGGGCAGUGGUGGAAAUGGUGAGGGCCAGGAACGACAUACAGCUGCCCGAAAUAAAGCAGGCCAUUGAGGAGAACAAUGACACCUUUGCCAGUGUGGCAUCCAUCAGCCUACCAACAAUCGCCCGCCUUUUGAAGAGGCACCUGUUACCUAUGAAACACGUGUACCUGGUGCCUUUUGAGAGAAACAACAUG